UUAUGGCUCAGGAUGAACGCUAGCUACAGGCUUAACACAUGCAAGUCGAGGGGCAGCAUUGGGAUAGCUUGCUAUUCCAGAUGGCGACCGGCGCACGGGUGAGUAACGCGUAUCCAACCUUCCCCAUAGUAGGGCACAGCCCGGCGAAAGUCGGAUUAAUUCCCUAUGCAGUCCAGAGAGGACAUCUGACCUGGACGAAAGAUUCAUCGCUAUGGGAUGGGGAUGCGUCUGAUUAGGUUGCAGGCGGGGUAACGGCCCACCUGGCCGACGAUCAGUAGGGGUUCUGAGAGGAAGGUCCCCCACAUUGGAACUGAGACACGGUCCAAACUCCUACGGGAGGCAGCAGUGAGGAAUAUUGGUCAAUGGACGGAAGUCUGAACCAGCCAAGUAGCGUGCAGGAAGACGGCCCUAUGGGUUGUAAACUGCUUUUAUCAGGGGAUAAAGUGAGGUAUGUAUACCUUUUUGCAUGUACCUGAUGAAUAAGGACCGGCUAAUUCCGUGCCAGCCGCGGC
rnacentral:rRNA from 1 species